rnacentral:rRNA from 1 species
GAUGAACGCUGGCGGCGUGCCUAAUACAUGCAAGUCGAGCGAACAGAUAAGGAGCUUGCUCCUUUGACGUUAGCGGCGGACGGGUGAGUAAAACGUGGGUAACCUACCUAUAAGACUGGGAUAACUUCGGGAAACCGGAGCUAAUACCGGAUAAUAUUUCGAACCGCAUGGUUCGAUAGUGAAAGAUGGUUUUGCUAUCACUUAUAGAUGGACCCGCGCCGUUUUAGCUAGUUGGUAAGGUAACGGCUUACCAAGGCGGCGAUACGUAGCCGACCUGCGAGGGUGAUCGGCCACACUGGAACUGAGACACGGUCCAGACUCCUACGGGAGGCAGCAGUAGGGAAUCUUCCGCAAUGGGCGAAAGCCUGACGGAGCAGCGCCGCGUGAGUGAUGAAGGUCUUCGGAUCGUAAAACUCUGUUAUUAGGGAAGAACAUACGUGGAAGUAACUGUGCACGUCGUGACGGUACCUAAUCAGAAAGCCACGGCUAACUACGUG